CGAACCAUGACAAGUUCUUUAAA
rnacentral:tRNA from 1 species